GAAGCUCAAAUUUAAAAUCUGGUAGUCCUUGGCUGCCCGAGUUGUAAUCUAGAGAAGUGUUACCCGUGCUGGACCGUGUACAAGUCUCCUGGAAUGGAGCGUCAUAGAGGGUGAGAAUCCCGUCUUUGACACGGACUGCCAGUGCUUUUGUGGUGCGCUCUCGACGAGUCGAGUUGUUUGGGAAUGCAGCUCAAAAUGGGUGGUGAAUUCCAUCUAAAGCUAAAUAUUGGCGAGAGACCGAUAGCGAA
rnacentral:rRNA from 1 species